UCCUACGGGAGGCAGCAGUGAGGAAUAUUGGACAAUGGAGGCAACUCUGAUCCAGCCAUGCCGCGUGUAGGAAGACUGCCCUAUGGGUUGUAAACUACUUUUAUAGAGGAAGAAACAGUUCCACGUGUGGAACUCUGACGGUACUCUACGAAUAAGGAUCGGCUAACUCCGUGCCAGCAGCCGCGGUAAUACGGAGGAUCCAAGCGUUAUCCGGAAUCAUUGGGUUUAAAGGGUCCGUAGGCGGGUCUGUAAGUCAGUGGUGAAAGUUUUCGGCUCAACCGGAAAAUUGCCAUUGAUACUGCAGGUCUUGAAUCAUUAUGAAGUGGUUAGAAUAAGUAGUGUAGCGGUGAAAUGCAUAGAUAUUACUUAGAAUACCGAUUGCGAAGGCAGAUCACUAAUAAUGUAUUGACGCUAAGGGACGAAAGCGUGGGUAGCGAACAGGAUUAGAUACCCUGGUAGUCCACGCCGUAAACGAUGGUUACUAGCUGUUCGGACUUCGGUCUGAGUGGCUAAGCGAAAGUGAUAAGUAACCCACCUGGGGAGUACGUUCGCAAGAAUGAAACUCAAAGGAAUUGACGGGGGCCCGCACAAGCGGUGGAGCAUGUGGUUUAAUUCGAUGAUACGCGAGGAACCUUACCAGGGCUUAAAUGUAGUAUGACAGGUUUAGAGAUAGACUUUUCUUCGGACAUAUUACAAGGUGCUGCAUGGUUGUCGUCAGCUCGUGCCGUGAGGUGUCAGGUUAAGUCCUAUAACGAGCGCAACCCCUGUUGUUAGUUGCCAGCGAGUAAUGUCGGGAACUCUAGCAAGACUGCCGGUGCAA
rnacentral:rRNA from 1 species